GACGAACGCUGGCGGCGUGCUUAACACAUGCAAGUCGAACGGAAAGGCCCUGCUUUUGUGGGGCGCUCGAGUGGCGAACGGGUGAGUAACACGUGAGUAACCUGCACUUGACUUUGGGAUAACUUCAGGAAACUGGGGCUAAUACCGGAUAGGAGCUCCUGAUGCAUGGUGGGGGUUGGAAAGUUUCGGCGGUUGGGGAUGGACUCGAGGGUUAUCCGCUUGAUGGUGGGGUAGUGGCUUACCAAGGCUUUGACGGGUAGCCGGCCUGGGAGGGGGACCGGCCACAUUGGGACUGAGAGACGGACCAGACUCCUACGGGAGGCAGCAGGGGAGAAUAUUGCACAAUGGGCGGGAGCCUGAUGCAGCAACGCCGCGUGCGGGAUGACGUCCUACGGGUUGUGAACCGCUGUCGCCGUUGACGAAGCGUGAGUGGCGGUAAUGGGUAAAGAAGCACCGGCUAACUACGUG
rnacentral:rRNA from 1 species